rnacentral:tRNA from 1 species
UUAAAGUGGUUGAUUUGCAUUCAAUUGAUGURAGAYAUGAUCUUGCAGUCCUUA